CUGCGCGUCCGCGUCUACCAAUGGAAGAUCGCGCAGAUUCAGCCUCGGCGCCUCCCCCACCGCGCGGACGCCAAUGGAAGGUCACCCCAAACCAGAGACAGCGCGACCGCCUCCGCAAUCUACGCACCCACUCGCGCAGCUUCACCUCGCCGCCUCCCCCACCGUGCGCCCGUCGAUGGAAGGUCGUCCCCAGACCAGAGACCCGCUCCACGCACCCGAUGGAAGGUAAUCGUCGUUGUGGCUGCACCCUCCAUCACCGCCCCUGCAAUCUCCUCCCAUCAUUGGGGGCGACCUUCCAACGACGCUGCACCACAACGACGAGUAUUAAAGAAAUCCGAAGGGAAGAGAUGGUCGAGGCCGCCACCCCACCCCGUUCCUCCUCACAUCUUCCACUAUUCUUCGAUUCGCCCAGUUGAGUUCUCACAAAAGAACUUUGGUGGAUUGCGAGAUAGCCAGAUAGUGAUCUUUGGUUCAUGUUUUGACGCCUCCAUCCCGACGUACGAGCGACGACGUCCCCUCGCGCGGCAGCGGCGGUUCCCCAAGGUGCGAGCGACAACGACGACCCUAGAGGCGCGAGCGUUGGCCAUGGCCCAGGGUGACACGAGCCUGCUCGUGCGGCGUCGACGACGAAAGGCGCGCACGACGGUGGAGGUUCCCCGAGCGCCGUGUGUCAAAGCACAGGAGUCAUGCUUUUCUGAUCAUACUCAGGAAUUGGGGCCCUCUAGUGUUGUUCCUUUUGCCGACGCGGGGGCAGGUGUACCUUUUGUUGGCUCCCUGCAUGUUUCUCCUGGUGGUAAACAUCCAGCGCGUCAGGUGGUGUUGGCUCCGAAGGACAUUUUCUCUUGCCAGUCUGAUGCAGCUGCCUUGGAUGGGAUCUCGGCUAUUUCAGAUUCUUUUACUGAGGAGGUAGUCGAUUCUUUCUCUCUUACUCAGAGAGUAAAGAAAAAUAAUGUUGACCUUGCCGAGCAGAAGAUUUGUGCCAGGAGAACCAAUAAGGAUGAAGAUACCAUGAUCAAAGCACAACGCUUGGCUGCCAAGCGCAACUUGGAAACAAACUAUCUUCAAGGGCACACACUGGUUCAGAUUUUGGAGACUAUUGCAGAAGGAAGAAACGCAACAACAAAUCCUCGUCAUGUGCCAGUCUUUGGAGGUGGUGGCCAUGGAGUUCUUCACGAGUCACGGGUGGCGGUUCCAUUCAAGAAUUGA
rnacentral:misc_RNA from 1 species